rnacentral:rRNA from 1 species
UACAGAGGUGGCAAGCGUUGUUCGGAAUUACUGGGCGUAAAGGGCGCGUAGGCGGUCUUGUAAGUCUUGUGUGAAAUCCCUCAGCUUAACUGAGGAACUGCACGGGAUACUGCGAGACUUGAGAUCGGGAGAGGGAAGCGGAAUUCCGGGUGUAGCGGUGAAAUGCGUAGAUAUCUGGAGGAACACCGGUGGCGAAGGCGGCAUCCUGGACCGGCAUUGACGCUGAACAGCGAAAGCCAGGGGAGCAAACGGG